rnacentral:misc_RNA from 1 species
GAUGAAGAACGUAGUGAAAUGCGAUAAGUAAUGUGAAUUGCAGAAUUCCGUGAAUCAUCGAAUCUUUGAACGCACAUUGCGCCCCCUGGUAUUCCGGGGGGCAUGCCUGUCCGAGCGUCAUUGCAACCCUCAAGCGCGGCUUGUGUGUUGGGCUUCGUCCCCCCGUGGACGUGCCCGAAAGGCAGUGGCGGCGUCCCGAAUGGUGCCCGAGCGUAUGGGAACUCUCUUCCGCUCGAACCGGCCCAUUCGGCGCUGGUCGAACCCCAAUUUUUUACCGGUUGACCUCGGAUCAGGUAGGGAUACCCGCUGAACUUAAGCAUAUCAAUAAGCGGAGGA